rnacentral:lncRNA from 1 species
CACUAAAUUAAUUACCUGUGGGAAAGAUUAAAUUUUCCAAUGUUGUUGUAUGAAGUUGUGAGAAGGGGAAUCACCUCUUCCACCACUUUCUUCUUCCAUUUUGGUCUUCCUACUCUUCCCACUUUGUUGUACACAAACCCUUUAUAUAAUAAGUCUCUCUUUCUUCUUUUUUUUGAACAAUAUAAUAAGUCUCUUUGUUCUU